GACGAACGCUGUGCGGCGUGCUUAACACAUGCAAGUCGAACGGAAAGGCCCUGCUUUUGUGGGGUGCUCGAGUGGCGAACGGGUGAGUAACACGUGAGUAACCUGCCCUUGACUUUGGGAUAACUUCAGGAAACUGGGGCUAAUACCGGAUAGGAGCUCCUGCUGCAUGGUGGGGGUUGGAAAGUUUCGGCGGUUGGGGAUGGACUCGCGGCUUAUCAGCUUGUUGGUGGGGUAGUGGCUUACCAAGGCUUUGACGGGUAGCCGGCCUGAGAGGGCGACCGGCCACAUUGGGACUGAGAUACGGCCCAGACUCCUACGGGAGGCAGCAGUGGGGAAUAUUGCACAAUGGGCGGAAGCCUGAUGCAGCAACGCCGCGUGCGGGAUGACGGCCUUCGGGUUGUAAACCGCUUUCGCCUGUGACGAAGCGUGAGUGACGGUAAUGGGUAAAGAAGCACCGGCUAACUACGUGCCAGCAGCCGCGGUGAUACGUAGGGUGCGAGCGUUGUCCGGAUUUAUUGGGCGUAAAGGGCUCGUAGGUGGUUGAUCGCGUCGGAAGUGUAAUCUUGGGGCUUAACCCUGAGCGUGCUUUCGAUACGGGUUGACUUGAGGAAGGUAGGGGAGAAUGGAAUUCCUGGUGGAGCGGUGGAAUGCGCAGAUAUCAGGAGGAACACCAGUGGCGAAGGCGGUUCUCUGGGCCUUUCCUGACGCUGAGGAGCGAAGGCGUGGGGAGCGAACAGGCUUAGAUACCCUGGUAGUCCACGCUGUAAACGGUGGGUACUAGGUGUGGGGUCCAUUCCACGGGUUCCGUGCCGUAGCUAACGCUUUAAGUACCCCGCCUGGGGAGUACGGCCGCAAGGCUAAAACUCAAAGGAAUUGACGGGGCCCCGCACAAGCGGCGGAGCAUGCGGAUUAAUUCGAUGCAACGCGUAGAACCUUACCUGGGUUUGACAUGGAUCGGGAGUGCUCAGAGAUGGGUGUGCCUCUUUUGGGGUCGGUUCACAGGUGGUGCAUGGCUGUCGUCAGCUCGUGUCGUGAGAUGUUGGGUUAAGUCCCGCAACGAGCGCAACCCUUGUUCACUGUUGCCAGCACGUUAUGGUGGGGACUCAGUGGAGACCGCCGGGGUCAACUCGGAGGAAGGUGGGGAUGACGUCAAGUCAUCAUGCCCCUUAUGUCCAGGGCUUCACGCAUGCUACAAUGGCUGGUACAGAGAGUGGCGAGCCUGUGAGGGUGAGCGAAUCUCGGAAAGCCGGUCUCAGUUCGGAUUGGGGUCUGCAACUCGACCUCAUGAAGUCGGAGUCGCUAGUAAUCGCAGAUCAGCAACGCUGCGGUGAAUACGUUCCCGGG
rnacentral:rRNA from 1 species